GUUAGGAAUAUUGGACAAUGGGCGAAAGCCUGAUCCAGCCAUGCCGCGUGAACGAUGAAGGCCUUCGGGUUGUAAAGUUCUUUAGCCGAUGAUUAUAAUGACUGUAGUCGGAAAAUAAGCCCCGGCUAACUUCGUGCCAGCAGCCGCGGUAAUACGAAGGGGGCGAGCGUUAUUCGGAAUCACUGGGCGUAAAGCGUGCGUAGGCGGCUUUGCAAGUUGGGAGUGAAAGCCCAGGGCUCAACCCUGAAAUUGCUCUCAAAACUGCAAGGCUCGAAUUCGGGAGAGGAUAGCGGAAUUGUCAGUGUAGCAGUGAAAUGCGUAGAUAUUGACAGGAACACCAGUGGCGUAAGCGGCUAUCUGGACCGAUAUUGACGCUGAGGCACGAAAGCGUGGGGAUCAAACAGGAUUAGAUACCCUGGUAGUCC
rnacentral:rRNA from 1 species